rnacentral:rRNA from 1 species
UACGGAGGGUGCGAGCGUUGUCCGGAAUCACUGGGCGUAAAGGGCUCGUAGGCGGUUUGUCGCGUCGGGAGUGAAAUCCACUGGCUUAACUGGUGGCUUGCUUUCGAUACGGGCAGACUGGAGGUAUGCAGGGGAGAACGGAAUUCCUGGUGUAGCGGUGAAAUGCGCAGAUAUCAGGAGGAACACCGGUGGCGAAGGCGGGUCUCUGGGCAACAACUGACGCUGAGGAGCGAAAGCGUGGGGAGCGAACAGG